AGAGUUUGAUUAUGGCUCAGGACGAACGCUGGCGGCGUGCUUAACACAUGCAAGUCGAACGAGGAUCAACUCGGAAGGGCUUCGGCCCGGAAAGGUUGAUUCGAGUGGCGGACGGGUGAGUAACGCGUGAGCAACCUGUCCCAGACAGGGGGAUAACACUUGGAAACAGGUGCUAAUACCGCAUAAGACCACGAGAUCACAUGUUCUUGAGGUAAAAGGAGAAAUCCGGUUUGGGGUGGGCUCGCGUCCGAUUAGAUAGUUGGUGAGGUAACGGCCCACCAAGUCAACGAUCGGUAGCCGACCUGAGAGGGUGAUCGGCCACAUUGGAACUGAGAGACGGUCCAAACUCCUACGGGAGGCAGCAGUGGGGAAUAUUGGGCAAUGGGCGAAAGCCUGAACCCCCAGCAACGCCGCGUGAGUGAAGAAGGCUUUCGGGUUGUAAAGCUCUGUUAUAGAGGACGGAGGAAGUGACGGUACUCUAUAAGGAAGCCCCGGCUAACUACGUGCCAGCCGCUGC
rnacentral:rRNA from 1 species